rnacentral:rRNA from 1 species
UACGUAGGGGGCAAGCGUUGUCCGGAAUCAUUGGGCGUAAAGAGCGUGUAGGCGGCUCGAUAAGUCUGCUGUGAAAGUCCAGGCUCAACCCUGGAAGGCCGGUGGAAACUGUCGGGCUAGAGUCCGGAAGAGGCGAGUGGAAUUCCCGGUGUAGCGGUGAAAUGCGCAGAUAUCGGGAGGAACACCAAUGGCGAAGGCAGCUCGCUGGGACGGUACUGACGCUGAGACGCGAAAGCGUGGGGAGCAACAGG